rnacentral:rRNA from 1 species
AAAGAACUUUGAAAAGAGAGUGAAAAAGGACGUGAAAUUUGUUGAAAGGGAAGGGCAUUUGAUCAGACAUGGUGUUUUGUGCCCCUCGCUCCUUGUGGGUGGGGGAANNCUCGCAGCUCACUGGGCCAGCAUCAGUUUUGGCGGCAGGAUAAAUCUCUGGGAAUGUGGCUUCUUUCUUCGGGAGGGAGUGUUAUAGCCCAGGGGAAUACUGCCAGCUGGGACUGANGUAUGCGACAUUUUGUCAAGGAUGUUGGCAUAAUGGUUAUAU